GAUGAACGCUGGCUACAGGCUUAACACAUGCAAGUCGAGGGGAAACGACGGGGAAGCUUGCUUCCCCGGGCGUCGACCGGCGCACGGGUGAGUAACGCGUAUCCAGCCUGCCUCUGACUGAGGGAUAACCCGUCGAAAGUCGGCCUAAUACCUCAUGGCAUCGUCUGCGGGCAUCCAACGACGAUUAAAGAUUUCAUCGGUCAGAGAUGGGGAUGCGUCUGAUUAGCUUGUUGGCGGGGUAACGGCCCACCAAGGCGACGAUCAGUAGGGGUUCUGAGAGGAAGGUCCCCCACAUUGGAACUGAGACACGGUCCAAACUCCUACGGGAGGCAGCAGUGAGGAAUAUUGGUCAAUGGGCGAGAGCCUGAACCAGCCAAGUAGCGUGCAGGAUGACGGCCCUAUGGGUUGUAAACUGCUUUUAUGCGGGGAUAAAGUGAGGGACGUGUCCUUCAUUGCAGGUACCGCAUGAAUAAGGACCGGCUAAUUCCGUG
rnacentral:rRNA from 1 species